UGGGGAAUAUUGGACAAUGGGCGCAAGCCUGAUCCAGCCAUGCCGCGUGAGUGAUGAAGGCCUUAGGGUUGUAAAGCUCUUUUGUCCGGGACGAUAAUGACGGUACCGGAAGAAUAAGCCCCGGCUAACUUCGUGCCAGCAGCCGCGGUAAUACGAAGGGGGCUAGCGUUGCUCGGAAUCACUGGGCGUAAAGGGCGCGUAGGCGGCCGAUUAAGUCGGGGGUGAAAGCCUGUGGCUCAACCACAGAAUUGCCUUCGAUACUGGUUGGCUUGAGACCGGAAGAGGACAGCGGAACUGCGAGUGUAGAGGUGAAAUUCGUAGAUAUUCGCAAGAACACCAGUGGCGAAGGCGGCUGUCUGGUCCGGUUCUGACGCUGAGGCGCGAAAGCGUGGGGAGCAAA
rnacentral:rRNA from 1 species